rnacentral:rRNA from 1 species
CCAGACUCCUACGGGAGGCAGCAGUGGGGAAUAUUGGGCAAUGGGCGCAAGCCUUACCCAGCAAUACCGCGUGAGUGAAGAAGGUCUUCGGAUUGUAAAGCUCUUUGAUCAGGGACGAACAGAUGACGGUACCUGAAGAACAAGCCCCGGCUAACUACGUGCCAGCAGCCGCGGUAAAACGUAGGGGGCGAGCGUUGUCCGGAAUGACUGGGCGUAAAGGGUGCGUAGGCGGUAUGUCAGGUCAAGGGUGAAAUCCCCGCGCUCAACGUGGGAACUGCCUUUGAAACUGGCAAACUGGAGUGUGUGAGAGGAUAGUGGAAUUCCAGGUGUAGGAGUGAAAUCCGUAGAUAUCUGGAGGAACAUCAGUGGCGAAGGCGACUAUCUGGCACAUAACUGACGCUGAGGAGCGAAAGCGUGGGUAGCAAACAGGAUUAGAUACCCCAGUA